AGAAUAAAGUGUACAAGUGAUGUCACAGCUCAGCUUACAGGCCUUAUAGCUCAGGCUCAACUAGGUGACUAUUCUGAAAGGACACUUCAGAGUGACUACAUGUCUAGACUGAAUGUCAAAAUGAGUCCAAAGCAUGAGAGAAUGGCCGUGGAGCAGCAUAAACUGAGAAGAGGCUUACAAACUGAUAGCUGCAUUGAGGAAUUCCUCAACAUGGCUGAAGGCCUCAACGGCUAUGGAUCUAUUCUAUUUGAUCUAC